UAUAAAAAGGCAGCACUUACUCUUCCUCGUCUCUGGUGGGAAUCCGACUUCCUGGGGUGCUUUGCUCUGAGCCCUGACCUGGCCCCCUGCCUGCCCCUGGUAAAAUUGAGGCAGAGCUCAGCUUCUGGGGCUCUCCAGCUGGCUCCCCAUCGGACUGCAGAGCAGAGCAAGAGCCGCAGCGUAGUUUUGGCCUUAGAAACGUUGAAAAUGUGCAGCUGGUUGGUCACAGAAGAGUGGACACAGCACCAGCCACCUGCAGCUGCCUCUCCACGUUAAUUUCCUAUUUAGUGCACUCAGAGAAGCAACAUGGGGCUUUGCUUUUUUGCGCCCUUUUUUUCCCCCCCAGCAUGCAGGAGCCUGAUCUGUGACUUUAUUUGCUUCUUUUUCAGUGGUUAGCCACGGUUCAUUAUGCAGUCACAAACCCCUAAUAGCAACAGGACUGCACGUGCUGAGUCCAUCUGUAAAUGCUGGCACAUGGAUCAAUACAGGUUACCAGAUAACACGAGAUGAUUUCCACAGGAGCUUUGAGCCUUAAAGUCUACUUAAUUAUGAAUGAUCCCAUAUUAUGUCUUCGUGCAAUGGGAGGAAAAGCUGUUCAGACAGGCGAUUUGCCACAGGAUUUCCAGGCCCCUGAGACCCAUCAGAAAGUGAAGAGCAGCAAAGACUUACCCUCAGUAAGGCAGGAUCAAGUUGGGAGAGGGGAAGUUCCUGAGAACUCGGAAAAGCAAUUACCAGUCCUGUCUUUGAGAAGAGCAAGAAGGAGGGAGGAUCUGGGCCUAUCAGUUUCACUUCAAUGCCUGGGAAGGUCAUGGAGCGAAUAAUCCUGUAAAGCAUUUCCAAAUGGAUGAAGGACAAGAAGGUGACUGAAAGUAGUUGUCAGGAGUUUAUGAAGAUAAAAUCAGCUCACCUGAUUACCUCCUAAGAUGAAAUAACUAAGAUGAGGAGAGAGUGAUGCAUGUUGUUUAUUUUGACUUUGGCAAGGCUUUUGACAGACUCUCAAUAACAUUUUUGUAGGCAAACCGAUGAAGUUUUGUGGACUAGCUAAAAGGACAAGGAAAUGGACUGAAAACUGACUGAACUUCUGGGCUCAAAGGGUUGUGAUCAGUGACACAAAGUCCAGCUGGAGGCCAGCUAUUUGUGGUGUACCAGGUUAAUUGUAUAUGGCAUUAAAAAUACCUCU